UCCCAGCGGCUUAAAUGCGGGCGUGCUGGCCUCCGUUCUCUCUUUCUGGUUCUAGAAGUUCCUGGUUCCCUAUGGCUAUGCGGGACUGCGGCCUACAGCGCGCAGGCCGGGCUCCGGGGAACCCCCGGGGCCCGGGGCCCUCCUGUUCCUUUCGGGAUCGGUAGGCCUAAAGUGGGUAAUGAUCCGGGACUGCUCCUGGCACGGGUCGGCAGUCCGAGAGGGUGGUUGGGGCGAGGGCUUAGGCAGGUGCUGGCGGUGCCCUCUGAGGGAGGAAGGACUGAGUUCUGUUCUCGCCCCGACCCUGCAGGGUUCUGCCAAUUGCGGCGGGGGCGCGAUGGCGAGAAGGGGCCGAGCCCGAGCCUGGAGCUGGGAUGUCGCGCAGUCCUGCUUAAGCGGAGCAAUGGGCUGCCUCCGGAAGGGCCUGCUGGUGAUUUUGAUUUAAAAUGAAGAGAUCUUGCCCAGGAUCUGCACCAGAAAUGCUGAAUACUGUUAAGAAUGUUGAGAUUAAAAAGCAUCCAAACUUUCCGAAGAUAAUUCUGAAGACACAAAAAUGUUUUUUGUUUUUAAGUUGGUAUUAGCCAGAAAGGCAUGAAGGAGCUGUGAAUAUGAAGAUAAUCAAUAAUGUCUUAGGUGGUUGUGGAUGGAUAUUCAGAUCUUUAUACCGUUACAAGAUUUUAUUUCAUCAGACUUUCAGAAAGCUCAUGAUGAUCUGUAGUAGUAGUAAUGCAAGUGGGAAAUAGAAGACCCAAGAGACUUGAAUCAUGAUGGAUAUUAUCUACAACUCCUACACCAUUGUCAUGUCUGACAGACACAUGACCCUAUGGACCAAUGCAUGCUAGGCAUUUCUAUCCACUGUCUUCUGAAGUCUGUCCAACAUGUUGCUUUCAUGACACAUUCCAUUUGUUCUCUAAUGCCCCUUCUCAACCUUGCCUUCAGGCUUUCCCAACAGCUUUUAAAUGUUCAAGGUAAUUUUUCACUCUCCUCUCACCUUCAUCCGUAGCUUAAUAGUUUGCUUUCUGCCAUGAUCUGAGAUUGAUUACUCUGCAUUCUGGGUUUUUAAUUUUUUUCCAGACAUUUUUUUGCAUGAUGUACUUUGCAAAUUAAAUAAAGUAAUAAUACAAUCUUCCAGUCUUAAACCAA